rnacentral:lncRNA from 1 species
AAUGUGCAAUUAUCGAAACUAUGUUUUUCUAUAAAUAGAAGCUCAUUCUUCCUUCAUUUCUCACCAAUUCACUAAAGCUUUAGAGCCAUUAUUAUAGAGAGAAAUUAUAGAGAGAAAGAAGAAGAGAAGUCUACAACCUCACUAUUGCAGUAUCCAGUCUUCUUUUGAGGUAAGGGGUAUUAUUCUUUUGUAUUCAUGAAGAGAG